rnacentral:lncRNA from 1 species
GAUUUUCUGCUUAUGCUAAUGGUUAGUGAUGUGUUUACUCUUUGCAUUCUUUUUUUGUAUAAUUUUUUAUAGCAUGACAUCCUAUCUUCCCUCUUACAUGAUUGUCUUUGGUAGUUGCUUUGCUCUGUUCUUAUUUUCUCUUUUAUUGCUCCGUUCCUUCGAAGCCUCUUCUUGGUUUUGCUCUUCUUGAUACAGAUUGGUCAGGUGAGCUUUUUCUUUUACUGAACUAUCUCAUCUAUAAUGCUGUUUAUUCCAAUAUGUUUUUUUGGUCGAACAUUCGUGGACUAACUCAGCUUUACUUACUUUGUUUAUGGGUGUUUUAUAUUUUGCCGUUGCAUUAAGGUAAGCCUAUGUUAAAUUUCCUGUCUUCUUUGAUUCUUUAUUCUACCUUUCAUUUAUCCAUUAUUUGUUCUUAUUUGUGUUCUGCCUUUUUCCCCUGUUUUCCCUUUACAUUUUGCAUGAGCUUUCUUCGUCUGUGGUUGCUGUAAGGAACUUUCUUUCUUUGUCACUAGACACUUGCAAAUUGGACUGUUCUGUGAGCCACCGAAUGUUUUGCUUCCACUCAAAAGAGUGACAAUAAUUGUGCUUUUUCUUCAAUGGUUGGGCCUAUUUUCCACCUUGCCUAACCUUUUAAACUAUACCUGCUUCUUUGACUUUGCCGUCGAUUUUCCGUCUUGUUCGUAUGGUGUUAGGAGCUGUUUUUCUUCUCAGAAGGUGAUGGGAUUUGGUGGAUGACGAGCUCAAGAAGGUAAGGGGCUAGUAAUCUUCUGUCUUGGUUACUCUUUCCAUUUUUCUCUUUUUUCUUCAUUUCCCUUUUCCCUCCUACCUCCCUCGAGUAAUAAUAGUUAGUUUCUUCUAUUUUUUUGCCUUUUUUUCCCUAAUCUUUUUUUUCCUUUGCUAAAAGCAACAAAUCAUUUUCUCCUCUCCUCUGCGUCUCUGUUUGUUAUGUUCUCAGAUAUUUUGCUAUUAAGAAAACUUCAUUUUUUUUGGGCUUUGUAAUCACUGAAUCUCCACUAUACUUAAUUUUCUGACAUGCUUCAUUUUUUCCCAUCUUUUAAGGAUUUAGCUUGCAUGUUUCAUCAAUAAAUAUUUUCAUCAUUUUAAUCUGGACUUGGAUAAUAGCUACAUUUUUUGUCCAUUUUUUCCUUUUGUUAGGUGGGAAAAGAUGAUUAAGAUUGGAGAUGAAUUGAUGAUGAUUUUGAUGGAGGUUUUACAUUCAUCCAUGGUUCCAGAUGUUUUACUGGAAACAUUAACCUUUACCCACCAUAUGUGUGUGUGUGUUUUUUUUACAGUUUCCUUUUUCUUUUCCAAAACUCACUUUCUUCUUGUUGCGAUUGCAGGUGUGAAGAGUUGGCAUUCUCACCAAUCUUCAUAUAUUUCAAAGGUAAGGCUUUAAUAUUUUGCUAAGUAAUUAUGCAAGGAAAAUUGUGUUAAGUUGACCAGAGUAGUUGUCGGGUUCUUAGACUAAAAAAUUUGUAGCAUCUUCAUGUCAUGGUAGUUUGAAUUCUAUUUCUCUUUCAUAGUUUUUUGUACUAGAAUUUCUUCUUAACUUUUGUGUGAAAGAACUGCUUUUGAUGGCUUACUUGAAGAAAGUAGGAGUAAUUGAAAUUGAUAUUUUAAAUCUGAGAAGUGGAUGAUGCCAUAGAGCUGGCAUUGCAACCAGAGAGACUUACAACAUGCUGUUAUGGCUUCCACUUGAAAUCUGGAGGUGGAAGAACUAAAAUUGGACUGCAAACAACAAAAUUCAGGACCAUAUCAUGUGUAUGUAUGGAACAUAAAAUGGGAGGUAUGUAAGUGCCACCAAAUUUUGAUGGUUUACACAAUGAAUUGGUUAUUACUUUAUUUGAUAAUUAGAAUAUUUUGUUACAGUAUUGCGAUCCAACAAGUUGUGGUGACAUAUUUCUUGCUCAGGUAGACUUCACAUAAAGGGCAAUCUUCAGCACCUGAAUUCAAGUAUUUGUAGUGAUGUGAAGCUAGGGCUGCAAAGAAAAGAAAGGAAUCAUUGCGUUCUUCUUACUCUAACAUCACGCCAACUCUCAAUAGCCAAUACAAGUUAGGGCAUAAUUGCAUUGAUCCACCGCGCAUAGCGUGGAGACCACCUCCUAGUUUCUUUU